AAAAACUAGAAAGAAGUUAUCUGUGAAACUGAUUUGUGAUAUGUGGAUUCAUCUCACAGAAUUAAACAUUUCUUUUGAUUUAGUAAGUGAGAAACACUCUUCUUGAUACAUCUGCAAUGGGACAUUUUGGAGCCCACUGAGGACAAUGGUGAGAAAAAGAAUAUCUUCAGUUAAAAACUGGAAAAAAAGCUAUCUGUGAAACUAUUUUGUUACGUGUGGAUUCAUCUCUCUGAGAUAUAUCCACCUUUUGAUUCAGCAGUUUGAAAACACUCCUCUUGUAGAAUCUGUGAGGAAACAUUUGUCAGCCUAUUAAUGCCUAUGGAGACAAACCGAGUAUCUCCAUAAAAACUAGAAAGAACCUGUCUGUGAAACUGCUUUAUGAUGAGUGGAUUCAUCUCACGAAGUUAAACAUUUCUUUUGAUUCAGCAGGUUGGAAACACUAUUCUUGUAGAAUCUGCAAAAGGACAUUUGGGAGUCCAUUGGAUCCUAUGGUGAAAAACCAAAUAUCCCCAGAUAAAAAACUAGUAAGAAGCUAUCUGUGAAACUGUUUGGUGAUGUGUGGAUUAUUCUCUCAGCAAUGAACCUUUCUUUUGAUUCAGCAGGUAGGAAACACUUUUCUUGUAAAAUCUGCGAAGGAACAUUUGGGAACCCAUUUAAGCCUAUGGUGAAAAGCAAAAUAUCCUCAGAUAAAAACUAGAAACACACUCUAUGAAACUUUUGUGAUAUGUGGAUUUAUUUCUCUGAGAUAAACUUUUCUUUUGAUUCAACAGGUUGGAAACAUUCUUCUAGUAGAAUCUGCAAAGGGACAUUUGGGAGUCCAUUGGAUCCUAUGGUGAAAAACCUAAUAUCCCUAGAUAAAACCCAGAAAGAAGCUAUAUAUGAAACUCAUUUGUGGUCUGUGGACUCAUCUCACAGAGUUAAACCUUUCUUUAAAUUCAUCAGAUUGGAAACACUUUUCUUGUAGAAUCUGCAAAGGGACAUUUGAAAGCCCUUUGGGUCUAUUGUGAAAAAUUGAAUAUUCCCAGACAAAAACCAGAAAGAAUCUAUCUGUGAAACUGCUUUGUGAUGUGUGAACUC
rnacentral:lncRNA from 1 species